rnacentral:rRNA from 1 species
GACGUAGGGCGCGAGCGUUGUCCGGAUUUAUUGGGCGUAAAGAGCUCGUAGGCGGCUUGUUGCGUCGACCGUGAAAACCCGUGGCUUAACUGCGGGCUUGCGGUCGAUACGGGCGGGCUGGAGUUCGGUAGGGGAGACUGGAAUUCCUGGUGUAGCGGUGAAAUGCGCAGAUAUCAGGAGGAACACCGGUGGCGAAGGCAGGUCUCUGGGCCACUACUGACGCUGAGAAGCGAAAGCAUGGGGAGCGAACAGG